rnacentral:rRNA from 1 species
GUUGAUACCGGUGCAGGGGCUGCGGGAAUACGGAGGUUUGAUGCGUGAAGCGGGAUUACUGGGCGUAAAGCGCACGGAGGCGGUCUGUCAAGGCGGAUGUGGAAUCCCCUGGCGCAACCUGGGAACUGCAUGCGAAACUGGCAGGCUAGAGUCUUGUAUAGUGGGGUAGAAUUCCAGGUGUAGCGGUGAAAUGCGUAGAGAUCUGGAGGAAUACCGGUGGCGAAGGCGGCCCCCUGGACAAAGACUGACGCUCAGGUGCGAAAGCGUGGGGAGCAAACAGGAUUAGAUACCCCGGUAGUC